rnacentral:tmRNA from 2 species
GGGGGCGACCGGUUUCGACGGAAAGUUCUUUAAAAAACUGCAAGCCAAGUUUGAUUUCUACUUGUCAAAAGGAAUCAAAAACAAGCGUCAAAUCUAACGAUUUCGCUGUAGCCUACGCUUAAAAAACGUUUUUAGGCUACUGUCUGAGGGAAAACGUUUCUCGACCGUACCCCUCGGGCAUAAACCAGUCGGGAUGCCGUAAACGUCCGUGGCUUCGGAUUUUUACGAAAGACAAUAAGCCUGACUCUUAAUCGUCCUGUUGGUAGGUAAGAUUAGGAGAAAAUACAAAAAACCAACUAAGCUUGUAGAAGUCUUUUGAAGUCAUUUUUCGGACGAGGGUUCAAUUCCCUCCGCCUCCACUC